GCUUGUCUCAAAGAUUAAGCCAUGCAUGUCUAAGUGUAAAUACGUCUACACUGUGAAACUGCGAAUGGCUCAUUAAAUCAGUUAUCGUUUAUUUGAUGAUCUCUUGUUACAUGGAUAACCGUAGUAAUUCUAGAGCUAAUACAUGCGCAAAUACCCAACUGCUUGUCGGACGGGUAGCAUUUAUUAGAUUGAAACCAAUGCAGUCUUCGGGCUGGUAUUGUGUUGAGUCAUAAUAACUGUGCGGAUCGCAUUCAAUGCGAUAAAUCGAUUGAGUUUCUGCCCUAUCAGCUUUGGAUGGUAGGAUAUGGGCCUACCAUGGCAUUAACGGGUA
rnacentral:rRNA from 1 species